UACGGAGGAUGCAAGCGUUAUCCGGAAUGAUUGGGCGUAAAGCGUCCGCAGGUGGCUAUGUAAGUCUGCUGUUAAAGAGCAAGGCUCAACCUUGUAAAGGCAGUGGAAACUACAUGGCUAGAGUGCGUUCGGGGCAGAGGGAAUUCCGAGUGUAGAGGUGAAAUGCGCAGAUAUCAGGAAGAACACCGAUGGCGAAAGCAGCUCUCUGGGACGGUACUGACGCUGAGGCGCGAAAGCGUGGGGAGCGAACAGG
rnacentral:rRNA from 1 species